GUGCCAAGCAGNCGCGGUAAUUCCAGCUCCAAUAGCGUAUAUUAAAGUUGUUGCCGUUAAAAAGCUCGUAGUCGAACUUCGGCGCCUGAUGGCCGGUCCGCCUUCUUGGUGUGUACUUGCUCAUCGGGCGCUUACCUCCUGGUGAACUCUGAUGUCCUUUACUGGGUGUCAGAGCAAACCAGGACGUUUACUUUGAAAAAAUUAGAGUGUUCAAAGCAGGCCUACGCCCGAAUACAUUAGCAUGGAAUAAUAGAAUAGGACGCGCGUUCCCAUUUUGUUGGUUUCUGAGAUCGCCGUAAUGAUUAAUAGGGAUAGUUGGGGGCAUUUGUAUUCCGUCGUCAGAGGUGAAAUUCUUGGAUUGCCGGAAGACAAACUACUGCGAAAGCAUUUGCCAAGGAUGUUUUCAUUGAUCAAGAACGAAGGAAGGGGGAUCGAAAACGAUCAGAUACCGUUGUAGUCUCUUCUGUAAACUAUGCCAAUUGGGGAUUAGCACAGGAUUUUCAAUGACUGUGUUAGCACCCGAAGAGAAAUCUUUAAAUGAGGUUCGGGGGGGAGUAUGGUCGCAAGGCUGAAACUUAAAGGAAUUGACGGAAGGGCACCACCAGGUGUGGAGCCUGCGGCUUAAUUUGACUCAACACGGGGAAACUCACCAGGUCCAGACACAAUAAGGAUUGACAGAUUGAUAGCUCUUUCUUGAUCUUGUGGUUGGUGGUGCAUGGCCGUUCUUAGUUGGUGGAGUGAUUUGUCUGGUUAAUUCCGAUAACGAACGAGACCUUAACCUGCUAAAUAGACCAGUCGACUUUGGUUGACUGCUGUCUUCUUAGAGGGACUAUCAGCGUUUAGCUGAUGGAAGUUUGAGGCAAUAACAGGUCUGUGAUGCCCAAA
rnacentral:rRNA from 1 species